rnacentral:lncRNA from 1 species
GGACUCCAGUAGGCGACAGCAGGCACAGGGCCCAGGUAGCAUGUUGAGCCUGCACUUCGCGGCCAUACUCCUCAAGGAUGUCUCGAGCACUCAUGGUGGAAAGGAGAGGGGAUGUGGAAAAUAAGGCUCUCGAGCAGCCUAUUUAUAGAGAAGCAAUGAAGGAGGGGCCCGAGAACCAAGGAGCUUUAAUGAGAGCAGGUGGGGGUCGAAGGGGGGGUGGACGGCCCCAGGCCCCCGGGCCUGCUAAGGAAGGGGGGAGUACUGUUGGUACCAUGGACCGCGGACCGCGGCCCAUGGACCGAACCGGACCGGACGGCCCAGGCGGACGGACGGGCGGGCGGACGAGUGGACGAACGGGGCUGACCGUACAAGCCCACGAGGCCCAAUAACAACAGGUGAAGGCUAUAAAUACCUCCCUUGGCCCAACUGGGAAAGGGGUUGACAAUUCUGGAGAGUGAACACUUGGGAGAG